rnacentral:rRNA from 1 species
CAGUAGCCACGGUAAUACGAAGGGUGCAAGCGUUACUCGGAAUUACUGGGCGUAAAGCGUGCGUAGGUGGUGGUUUAAGUCCGUUGUGAAAGCCCUGGGCUCAACCUGGGAAUUGCAGUGGAUACUGGGUCACUAGAGUGUGGUAGAGGAUAGUGGAAUUUCCGGUGUAGCAGUGAAAUGCGUAGAGAUCGGAAGGAACAUCUGUGGCGAAGGCGACUAUCUGGGCCAACACUGACACUGAGGCACGAAAGCGUGGGGAGCAAACAGGAUUAGAUACCCCCGUAGUCCCUGUCUCUUAUAU